GGAGCCGUGUCUGAAACAAAGAAUUACUUUGAUAGGGUAAAGCAUAGGGGUUAAAACCCCCUCGACUCCC
rnacentral:tRNA from 1 species